rnacentral:rRNA from 1 species
ACGGAGGGUGCAAGCGUUAAUCGGAAUUACUGGGCGUAAAGCGCGCGUAGGUGGAUUAUUAAGUCAGAUGUGAAAGCCCAGGGCUCAACCUUGGAACGGCAUUUGAUACUGGUAAUCUUGAGUACAGUAGAGGGAGGUGGAAUUUCAGGUGUAGCGGUGAAAUGCGUAGAUAUCUGAAGGAACAUCAGUGGCGAAGGCGACCUUCUGGACUGAUACUGACACUGAGGUGCGAAAGCGUGGGGAGCAAACAGG